rnacentral:lncRNA from 1 species
CAUCAAUGGCCUGAUAGAGUAAGGUGAUAGCAGCGUGGUUGGUUCCCUGCCUGUGAGCUUAUCUUCUGGCAUCACUGUCCCAGCAGAGUAGCCAUCUCUUGUUUUGUGACAAUAAUAGUCAUGAUUUGGUUGUUGCAACAAUUUAUUUAAAGGUACAGUCCAUCAUUUGUCUUUUGUGGAUCAUUUUUCUUUGAAGCAACAAAAUUACUUCUAGGACUUAGAUUCAGAUCAGAAGUUGCUGAGUCAUGUAUUAAAUUGUGCCUGAUUUCAGCAUCUGGGAAACAUUCUCAUAUUCAGUCGAAUGCAGCUACAUCUUGCCACCCCCCUGAACUGAUGAAUUAUAGAAACUGCUAGUGUCUGUGCAUCGUAUCAACGCUUGCACGCAUUUGUAAUAGUGAUUUUCAAAAAAUUUGAGAAGGCGCCUGCUUGAAAUCAUUCUUUCAUCAUGAUGACCGUUCACAAGAAUGAAUAGGUUCUCACAGAAUUUAGUCCUUUAUCUAAACCAAGUAUACUUUUCAGCAACAAUUUUGGAUACCCUUUGGAUAACUGCAAAUGAUAGACUGUACAGUACUUUUAAGCCAUUUGUCCUUGUACAGGGUUCCCACAGUCAUUGAAAAUCCUGGGAAAAAGUUGUCCCGGAAAGUCUUGGAAAACUCAUGGAAAAUUGGUCUGAGGAAAAGUCAUGGAAAUCAAGAUUGUACAAGGGUGAUUUUGAUGGUGGUUUUGGAUAGUACUAUGGCAGUUCUCUUGUUUAUUACACCAAACAAAUUUUCCGUGCAGAGUGGCAUUAAAUGCCGCAGAAAUUGUCAUAUUUUAGUUCUGGAAAGUGCAGGAAAGGUCACUGAAUUUAAUUUUCAGAUUUUGUGGGAACCUCGCUUGUGAAAAGCUGGGCCCAAUUUUUUGGCGCUGCUUAGAACGUGGUUUCACGCUUACAGAUGCUCUGCGUAUUUCAUGCCUAUCGUAAACAGUAAAUACAGCCAAAUGCAUCCUAACCUUGGAGGAAAGAUUGAUGUAACAACAGAAAUCUCUAUCUGCACACAAGUGUUAGCACAACCACCCCCGAGCACCGCCAUGAAAUAGUGCUCAAGAUUUGGGAAUGCCUCAUUGCCAGGUGAAUGUACUGUCGUGGCUGCCUACAUGAACGUUGAGGCUGGCUAGUGUCAUGGUACGAGUGGACUGACCCAUGAAAUCUCCAAAGCGAAGAGGCAGGUUACCUCAUGAGUAGCACAGACCUCCUCAUAUGAAAGCUGUGGGUAUGCCCCAGGAGAAGCAGACCAUGGUGCUAAUGAGGAGAGUGCCCUCGCCUCUUCAAAGUGGAGAGAAGGAAGAUGGAGGAUAAGAUCCUAUGGGACUUCACAGAGAUGAUUCAUGAGAAUGUCAAGGAGAGGAAGUAACUCGAAUAGAUGCCAGUCCUUGCCUCCAUCACUGAGGAGGAACAGUUUCCAAGAUUGCAUGAGGGCUCCUCAUCAGAAUCUUAGGUAUUGAAGGCAAGGAAAGGACUUAAUCUUCUCAGAGAUGCAGUUCCUUGCUUCCACCUUUAAGCGAUGGAGGAAGUCUAUCAGCAUUUGUACACUACUCAAGGAUCAAAGGAUCAUACGUAGUGAUUAAUAAUUUAAACAAAUGGUGUUCACAUCGCCAAAAAUGAGCAUCAUUUAAGUUGGCUAUUUUCUGUCAGCAAAAUAAGACACUUCCACUACAGAGUACUGAAGUCUCACAACACUGAAAAAAACCUUGGUCAGCACCUUAUCCAGGUCCUUUAGGUCCUGAUAAUGAUGUAUGAAAAAAUUGAGUUUUAACCUAGUAAUGUGAGGGCGCUGUUUAUGAGUUAAAAUGAUAUCGCGGUAAUGUGAGGGCGCUGUUAAUGAGUUAGAAUGAUAUCGUGGUAAUGUGAGAGCACUGUUUAUGAGUAUAUUCUGGUAAUGUGUGGGAACUAUUUGCGAUUCUGAAUCACAGAAAUGAAGCACUUUGAAGAUGU